rnacentral:tRNA from 1 species
ACUUCCAGAUAACGGCAUGUUUAGUUGAUUUCCAUUCAAUUGGCCCUAUGAUUGAAUAUAGGUGGAAGAA